GUACCCGUGGCUCAAUUGGAUAGAGCGUUGGACUGCGGAUCCGAAGAUUGCCGGUUCAAAUCCGGCCGGGUACGCCA
rnacentral:tRNA from 2 species